CUUGUAGCUCAGUGGAUAGAGCAGUGGCUUCCGAAGCCAUGUGUCGGGGGUUCGAGUCCCUUCAGGUG
rnacentral:tRNA from 1 species